rnacentral:lncRNA from 1 species
AGGAAAGGUUGAUGUCAAAAAUCUGGAAACCAUUCUAGGCAACAUGAGAAUCAAGCUCACUGAUAAGGAACUUGAAGAUCUGACACAAAACCUGCCGGUCACUGGCGAAAAGAUUGAUUCUGGUGACUUACAAAACAUCCUAAAAAACCUGGG